UGGGCAAGACUGUUGAAAGCUGGACUGCAAUGCAACAUGGAGCCAAAAGCUUGCUACUGUCGAGACCAGCAGCUAUCGAGCUCAGCUCGUUUUGCUUGGUGCGCACGAAUGGUUUUUGAACUGAAUGAAGCAACUAACUUUGCUGCUUUGUUUUGAUGUAAUUUGGUUCAGUUCAACUUUAGUUUGUUUGUAAUGCUAGUUAAACUUAAGUUAGUGACAAGAUCUUUUGAUGUAAUGGCUGAUUGGUCAGCUAUGUUUGAUUAUUUUUUGGCUAGUGAUUAGGUUUGUAUUAGUUGGGGCAGUUAAAUACAUUAGGUAACUGUCAAUGUACAAUGUAACUCUUUUAUAUAUUUCAAGUUGAAUGAAAAAUAAAAAAUGUUCAGUCACAACAUUGCUGAGUAUUUUGAUUUUUUGACCAAAUUUUUGCUUUGCUUUGCCUCGAUUCUUCUUGCUUCAGUCUUGCAAACACUGAGUUGCAACUUUGUUUUGAUGUUUGCUACUGUCAUUGUUCCAACAAAUGGUAUCAUGAGCCCGAGUCUUUGAGGGGCCUUUGUAUGCAAUCUGUUGUGUUCGAAUCAAAACCAACAGCAAGUUCAAAAUUUGGUAAGAUUGAAGCAUUUAAAAUCAGUUUAGCAGAAUGAGUUUCACUCCACCACCUCCACCAGUGUUCACUGGAGAAAACUAUCACAUUUGGAUAGUUAAAAUGAAGACUUAUCUCCAGGCACAUGAUCUUUGGAGUGUGAUCGAGAAUGAUGCUGAACCACCUCCAUUGAGAGCCAAUCCCACCAUUGCACAGAUGAGGCAACAUACUGAGGAGCGAGCCAAGAAGCAUAAGGCUAUGGCCUGCUUGCAAAAUGGAGUCUCUGAUGUGAUAUUUACUCGCAUCAUGGCCUGUGACUCACCUAAGCAGGCUUGGGAGAAGCUGAAGGAGGAGUUCAUGGGGACUGAUAAGACAAGGCAACAGCAAGUAAUCAACCUCAGGAGAGACUUUGAAAAUUUGAGGAUGAAGGAGUCUGAGACCAUCAGGCAGUACUCAGACAGGAUAAUGGCCAUUGUCAACAGCAUUAGGCUCCUGGGAGUGGACUUCACAGAGAGCAGAGUUGUUGAAAAGGUUAUUACAACUCUCCCUGAGAAAUUUGAGUCUAAAAUCUCUUCACUUGAGGACUCGAGGGACUUAUCAGCCAUUUCAUUGUCUGAGCUGAUAAAUUCCCUAUAUGCACUUGAGCAAAGGAGGGCAAAUAGGCAGGAGGAGAAUCCUGAAGCUGCUUUCCAGGCUAAAGCCAGUGAAGGCUUGAGUGUGAGUGCAAAAGGCAAGAAGCCUUGGCACAAUAGAAGGGUCAAGUCAGGAAGAGAUGAAGCAAAAAGGGUGUUCCCACCAUGUGUUCAUUGCAAGAAGACAACACAUUCAGAAAAGUAUUGCUGGUUUAGGCCAGAUAUUCAGUGUAGAAAAUGCAAACAGUUUGGCCAUGUGGAGAAGGUGUGCAAGGGCAAACCAAGGGAGGCUACUUUGCAACAAGCUAGACCUGCUGAGGACAUUCAAGCUCAGGAGGAGCAAGUGUUCACAGCAACUUGUUUUGUUGGCACAACCAAGGCCAGCAAUGAUUGGCUACUAGACAGUGGCUGCUCACACCUUAUGGCAGCAGAUGAGAAGCUAUUCAAAAGCCUAGACAGAAGCUUCCACUCGAGGAUUAGAAUUGGAGAUGGUAGGCUGAUUGAGGCUAAAGGCAAGGGCAGUGUGUUGAUUAGCACUGGUUCAGGUAACAAGCUGAUCUCAGAUGUGUUUUUUGUACCUGACUUAGACCAGAAUUUGCUUAGUGUAGGCCAAUUAGUUGAAAAGGGCUAUACAUUGGUUUUUAAGGAUGGUUGCUGUAUUGUUCAAGACAUGAAUGGUCUGGAGUUAGUCACAGUCUCUAUGACUGAUAGGUGCUUCAUGCUGGAUGUUAGCCAAAUAGAAAGAAAGGCAUACACCAGCCUUGUUGAAAGCACUGACUUGUGGCAUAGAAGACUAGGCCAUGCAAAUUUUAGAUCUAUCGAUCUGUUACAUAGGCUGAAUCUGGUUGAUGACAUUUCAAAAAUUGAAGCUAGUGGGAAUGUUUGUGAGGUUUGUCAGCUUGGUAAGCAGGCUAGACUGCCUUUUCCUGCUGACAGUGCUUGGAGAGCUCAAGACAAGCUCGAAUUGGUGCACUCUGAUGUUUGUGGCCCUAUGAGAACACCUUCAAUCAGUGAGAACAGGUACUUUGCCUUGUUUAUAGAUGAUUUAACAAGGUUGUGUUGGGUCUACUUCUUGAAGCAAAAGUCAGAAGUGCUUGAAGCCUUCUGUAAAUUCAAGGCUUAUGCUGAAAAUCAGUCAGGCUGCAAAAUUAGAGCCUUGAGGACUGAUAAUGGAUCUGAAUAUGUGUCUGGGAGAUUUCAGAAGCUUUGUGACAGUGCUGGGAUUCACCAUCAGCUCACAACAGUCUAUACUCCUCAACAGAAUGGAGUCUGUGAGAGAAAGAAUAGGACUGUACUGAACAUGGCCAGGUGCCUCUUGUUUCAAGGCAAGCUUCCAAGUCAGUUUUGGGCUGAGGCAGUCAACACCUCAGUGUAUCUGCUCAACAGACUGCCAACUAGAGCAGUCAAGGAUAAGACUCCUUUUGAGGCUUGGCAUGGAGUCAAACCUGUGGUAACACACUUAAAAGUGUUUGGCUGUGUAUGUUAUGCACUUAUUCCAGUAGAGAAAAGGACCAAGCUUGAGAGCAGAGCAACUCCAGGAAUCUUUGUUGGCUACAGCAACAACAAGAAGGGCUAUAGAGUGUAUGAUCCUACAGCAAAGAAGGUUUUAGUCAGCAGGGAUGUUAAGUUUGAUGAGGAAAAGGUGUGGAAUUGGAAUGGUGUUGUGGCUAACUUGUCUGAAUUGGACCAGUUAGACUUGGUUGCUGAACCUGCAGAAGAAGGACCAAGUAAUGAUGCUGUCGAUGAUAUACCAGUGAGGGGCACCAGAACUUUGGUUGAUGUUUAUCAGAGGUGCAAUGUUGCUGUGAUUGAGCCCUCAGACUUUGAAGAGGCUGCUAAAAAUAGAAGCUGGAUGAGAGCUAUGGAAGCUGAGUUAGAAAUGAUCAACAAAAAUCAAACUUGGGAGUUGGUGAGCAGACCAGAACACAAGAGGGUCAUAGGAGUUAAAUGGGUGUAUCGGGCCAAGUACAAUGCUGAUGGCUCACUGAACAAGCACAAGGCCAGGCUUGUGGUGAAGGGCUACAGUCAGCAGUAUGGUGUUGACUACCUAGAAACUUUUGCUCCAGUGGCAAGACUAGAUACAAUUAAGCUGUUGUUUGCUUUAGCAGCUCAGAAGCAGUGGAGAGUUCACCAAUUGGAUGUCAAAUCAGCAUUCCUGAAUGGUUUUCUCAAGGAGGAGAUCUACAUCGAGCAACCUGAAGGUUUUGAAGUUGUUGGACAUGAAGACAAAGUGUAUAAGUUGAGAAAGGCCCUCUAUGGCCUGAAACAGGCACCAAGGGCCUGGUAUGACAGAGUUGAUGCCUACCUGACCAAACUUGGAUUUGUAAAGAGCCUUAGUGAGCCUACUCUAUAUGUUAAAAGGUCAGAACAUGAAACCUUGCUGAUAGUCUCCUUGUAUGUGGAUGAUUUGCUUGUGACAGGGAGCAAAAUCGAGCUCAUUGAUCAGUUCAAGGUCCAAAUGCAGCAAGUGUUUGAGAUGACAGAUUUGGGGAUCAUGACUUACUUCCUUGGCAUGGAAGUGCACCAAUCUGAUCGAGGUACCUUCAUCAGCCAACACUCAUUUACUUUGAAGAUUCUAGACAAAUUUUGCAUGCAUAAUUGUAAAGCAGUCAGCACACCUGUGGCUCAAGGAGAAAAGCUGACUAGCAGUGGUGAUCAGCAGAGGGUUGAUGAGAGGCACUAUCGAAGCCUAGUUGGUUGUCUGUUGUAUUUAACAGCAACCAGGCCAGAUAUCAUGUUUGGUGUCAGCCUGUUAUCAAGAUUUAUGCAUUGUUGCAAUGAGGCACAUUUGAAGGCAGCAAAGAGGAUCCUUAGAUACAUCAAGGGCACUGCUAGUUUUGGUGUAAUGUUUGAAAGUCAGAACCAACUGAAACUAGAAGGCUACUCUGACAGCGACUGGGCAGGAUCUCUCGAUGACAUGAAGAGUACCUCUGGAUACUUCUUCACACUUGGAUCGGGUAUGUUUUGCUGGAGUUCUAAGAAGCAACAAACUGUUGCUCAGUCCACAGCUGAAGCAGAGUACAUUGCUGCAGCAGGAGCAGUUAAUCAGGCCAUUUGGCUAAGAAAGCUGCUUUAUGACCUUAAUGAAACUCAAGAUGAAGCAACUGAAAUCUGGGUGGACAAUCAGUCUGCAGUUGCAAUAGCCAAGAACCCUGUGUUCCAUGGCAAGACUAAGCAUUUUAAGAUCAAAUUGCAUUUUGUUAGAGAGGCUGAACAAGCAAAGGAAGUCAGCCUUGUGCAUUGCAGCUCAGGAGCACAAUUGGCUGACAUAAUGACCAAGCCCUUAGGGGCUGCUCGAUUUGAAUCUUUGAGAAGUGCAAUUGGAAUGUGUUGCAUACAGUCCAAGGAGGAGUGUUGAAAGCUGGACUACAAUGCAACAUGGAGCCAAAAGCUUGCUACUGUCGAGACCAACAGCUAUCGAGCUCAGCUCGUUUUGCUUGGUGCGCAUGAAUGGUUUUUGAACUGAAUGAAGCAACCAACUUUGCUGCUUUGUUUUGAUGUAAUUUGGUUCAGUUCAACUUUAGUUUGUUUGUAAUGCUAGUUAAACUUAAGUUAGUGACAAGAUCUUUUGAUGUAAUGGCUGAUUGGUCAGCUAUGUUUGAUUAUUUUUUGGCUAGUGAUUAGGUUUGUAUUAGUUGGGGCAGUUAAAUACAUUAGGUAACUGUCAAUGUACAAUGUAACUCUUUUAUAUAUUUCAAGUUGAAUGAAAAAUAAAAAAUGUUCAGUCACAACAUUGCUGAGUAUUUUGAUUUUUUGAC
rnacentral:lncRNA from 1 species